UUGUGGUAAGGUUGCUAAGACACAACCAGAGAAUUCUAAUGUAGUGUUAAACUAGAUAUGAGGUAGGAGAGGCAAAGGUUAGGCAAAAAGGAAUGGCAAGGACCAACUGAUGGAGGUCUUGGAUGCCAGUUUGAGGAUUUGGGAUCUAAUUCUAAGGCCAAUGGAGGCCUCAUAGACAUCUCUCCCGGAUAUGAAGAAGCCAAUGGCUACUAAAUCAGAAGGAAGAAUUGAAAUUAUGUCAGGUCCUUGACCGCUGAUUGCCUCAGAAGACAAUGUAGUAACCGAAGAUAGCAUCUCAUUUGGGUGCCACAGCUGAUAAUGCUCUUUACCAGACAUUUUUGAGGAAAACCAAGUUACCACUGAUAUAAUUGCAGGGAUGGUGCUCCUGGAAAUUGUGCCUGGCACAGUGAGGAAUCUAUCCAGUUUUCUGGGUGGAGGUUGCCAGACCCUCCCUGAGUAAACAGAAGAAUGGAGGAGAAGGAGAAAUGAACCAGAGGUGUGCUUAUUGACAAGUGGCUCUUCUAGCUCCAAAGUGAAGGAGCCUUCACAGCCUGCCUAGGCUCACACUUGGCGAGAGACAAGCAUGGAAUCCCUGGGGGAGGAAAACUGAGCAUCCCCUUCUACGACGGAUCCGGAUCGGUCCCCCAGACGAAAGUGGUGAACCUCGAGCCAAAGCAGACAAGGUCCAGGCAUGCUGGGAGCGUGGUAAGGACACGGAGCGGGGUCAGAUGGAAGGAGCCCAGUAUCGAUGGACAGAUGGCAGCUAGGAGGGGCAGGUGGAGAAAAAGCAAACUCUUCUCUUGGAAUUUCUCUCAGGUCAUAAGCAAAUGAGUACAACUGGUGGAAUCAGCCCACGCUUCUGCCCCUCUCAUCUCAGUCUGUAGGACCUGUAAGCAUCCCGUCUCUCCCAGAGCUCAGUCUUCCUUUUCUUCUGGUGCCCUUGGGGUGCUGGGACGGUCCAGCUCAGAUCUGUAGGACUUCUUCCUCUUUACUUCUGCACCCAUAAGGACCUCUAGCAGGGGCAGCGAGGUGGCAGGCACUCCCUAGCUCUGUGACCCCGGGCAAGUCAUUUAACCCCAAUCGCCUACUCCGUUCUGUUCUCCUACCUUGGAACUGACAUUUAG
rnacentral:lncRNA from 1 species